CCUACGGGAGGCAGCAGUGGGGAAUAUUGCGCAAUGGGCGAAAGCCUGACGCAGCGACGCCGCGUGAGGGAUGAAGGUCUUCGGAUCGUAAACCUCUGUCAGCAGGGAAGAACGGUCACUUUGCUAAUCAGCAGUGAAUUGACGGUACCUGCAAAGGAAGCACCGGCUAACUCCGUGCCAGCAGCCGCGGUAAUACGGGGGGUGCGAGCGUUAAUCGGAAUUACUGGGUGUAAAGCGCUCGUAGGCGGGAUGUCAAGUCAAGGGUGAAAUCCCCGCGCUCAACGUGGGAACUGCCUUUGAAACUGGAAAACUGGAGUGUGUGAGAGGAUAGUGGAAUUCCAGGUGUAGGAGUGAA
rnacentral:rRNA from 1 species